rnacentral:rRNA from 1 species
CCUACGGGUGGCAGCAGUGAGGAAUAUUGGUCAAUGGCCGGAAGGCUGAACCAGCCAUGCCGCGUGAAGGUCAGUGCCCUAUGGGCGUUAAACUUCUUUUGUGCGGGAGCAAUAAUGGUCACGUGUGGCCAGACGAGAGUACCGUACGAAUAAGCAUCGGCUAACUCCGUGCCAGCAGCCGCGGUAAUACGGGGGAUGCAAGCGUUAUCCGGGUUUAUUGGGUUUAAAGGGUGCGUAGGCUGUGAGGUAAGUCAGCGGUGAAAUGCCCUCGCUCAACGGGGUGAAGUGCCAUUGAUACUGCCUGGCUGGAAUGCGGAUGCCGUGGGAGGAAUGUGUGGUGUAGCGGUGAAAUGCAUAGAUAUCACACAGAACACCGAUUGCGAAGGCAUCUCACGAAUCCGCGAUUGACGCUGAUGCACGAAAGCGUGGGUAUCAAACAGGAUUAGAUACCCGGGUAGUC